rnacentral:rRNA from 1 species
AUUGAACGCUGGCGGCAGGCCUAACACAUGCAAGUCGAACGAGUGGCGGACGGGUGAGUAAUGUCUGGGAAACUGCCUGAUGGAGGGGGAUAACUACUGGAAACGGUAGCUAAUACCGCAUACCAUCAGAUGUGCCCAGAUGGGAUUAGCUUGUUGGUGGGGUAACGGCUCAACAAGGCGACGAUCCCUAGCUGGUCUGAGAGGAUGACCGGCCACACGUGAACUGAGACACGGUCUCGACUCCUUCGGGAGGCAUCAGUGGGGAAUAUUGCACAAUGGGCGCAAGCCUGAUGCAGCCAGGCCGCGUGUAUGAAGAAGGCCUUCGGGUUGUAAAGUACGUUCAGCGGGGAGGCGUUACCAGCAGAAGAAGCACCGGCUAACUCCGUGCCAGCCGCCGCGGUAAUUC